AUUGAACGCUGGCGGCAGGCCUAACACAUGCAAGUCGAACGAGUGGCGGACGGGUGAGUAAUGUCUGGGAAACUGCCUGAUGGAGGGGGAUAACUACUGGAAACGGUAGCUAAUACUGCAUACCAUCAGAUGUGCCCAGAUUGGAUUAGCUAGUUGGUGGGGUAACGGUUCACCAAGGCGACGAUCCCUAGCUGGUCUGAGAGGAUGACCAGCCACACUGGAACUGAGACACGGUCCAGACUCCUACGGGAGGCAGCAGUGGGGAAUAUUGCACAAUGGGCGCAAGCCUGAUGCAGCCAUGCCGCGUGUAUGAAGAAGGCCUUCGGUUUGUAAAGUACUGUCAGCGGGGAGGCGUUACCCGCAGAAGAAGCACCGGCUAACUCCGUGCCAGCAGCCGCGGUAAUUC
rnacentral:rRNA from 1 species